GAUCAUGGCUCAGGAUGAACGCUGGCGGCGUGCCUAACACAUGCAAGUCGAGCGAUGAAACCGCCUCCGGGCGGACAUGAAGCGGCGAACGGGUGAGUAACACGUGACCGACCUGCCCCCCGCCCAGGGACAGCCCCCCGAAAGGGGGAUUAAUACCUGGUACUCCGGCAAGGAUGCAUGUCCUGGCCGGGAAAGCCUUGGCGGCGGGGAUGGGGUCGCGGCCCAUCAGGUAGACGGCGGGGCAGGAGGCCCACCGUGCCG
rnacentral:rRNA from 1 species